AUGAUAGCGCCAGGACUUGAAUUUUCAAGUUGACGAGGACCGGGUUUUUCGAAAGAUUCGGCGGGUGACCCGGAGGUUGAUACGACCUUUAAAAAGCGGACAAAAACAGUCUGUGAAGAUUGAACAGAA
rnacentral:ncRNA from 1 species